UUACUUAUUGACAGGGUUAGAAGGUGUGCAGUUCUUUACUUUAUGGAGUAUCAAGUUUUUGCAAGUGCGCAUGACAGUAGAUAUAUUACCAUCCAAGAAAUUCAUUUGUAUAGCUUUUAAUAGUGUAUCAUGUAUUCGUGUUCAUGCCUAAACAAUUGGGCUGCAAACCCGCAUGGGCAUUAAUUUUAUUUAUAUAUAUUCUUAUCCUUUUCACAAAAGAUAUAGAUGCAGUUCUUUUGAUUGCUCUGAAAAACAUAUAAUUCCUGCAAAGAACUAUGCUGGAAAAAUGUAAACAUUAAGCCUAGUACUUUUAUCAGAUUCACUUGCGAAGCCCAUUCUUCAUAGCAGGCAUGAACUCUAUCUUUCUGUAAGAUAUAAACAACACCGGAUAAUACUAACACACACAUAGCAUUUGAUUGGUGAUAAACAGAGAGUUCUGACUGGCAGAUGCCACACUGGAACAGGAAAGUGGAAAAUCAAAAUCAUGUUGACGUUAUAUUUUACUGUGAAGUACUUCAGAACAACAAAGUAAACAAAGGGGAGCAGAUUCGCACCUUUUGUUGGCCAAAAGGGGAGCAUAUGCCCUAAGCUUUCAUUCCUUCCUGCAUUCCUCUCUUCCCAUAUAUACUGCAACCUUUGCAAUCUGCAAAUAAGAAGGCAGAUAGGUCUCCUCAACACAGCCAAAUUUACUCUUAAGCCUUAACAUGUUUCUACACUACCUGCAAGAUCGCAGUAUCCAGAGCGCUGCAAGAGCUAUGAAAUUAUUUCCCCAAUCUGAAAUGCCAUUCCAGUAAAUCAACAGCACGGUAGAUCAACGCGAUGAAGUCUUGGUUCUUCCUCAAAUCCAACGAUAAAACGCAGGCCAAUCCAAGGCCGUGCACCGAAGAACGGAUUCCGGACGAGUCAGUAGCAGCGAAUCGGAGGGCACAACCGAGGCAAUCAGGAAUUGGGGGAGAUAGUAACUUGCUGCGCAGAAACGAACAGCGGGGUUCUCACCUCGCGUCGGGGCCUCGAGGGAGAGAAGAUCACCUCGUCGGAGAAGAAGCUUCCGACCUGGGCUGUAGCGGCGGAGUAGCUCACCGUCGCCGGAGCUCCGGUGCCCUGGGCCCGGAGAGCAAAAGCCUUGA
rnacentral:lncRNA from 1 species